ACACAUGCAAGUCGAGCGGGGACACGGGGCUUCGGCCCAGUGUUCUAGCGGCGGACGGGUGAGUAACGCGUGAGCAAUCUGUCCCAGACAGGGGGAUAACAACUGGAAACAGUUGCUAAUACCGCAUAAGACCACGGCCUCGCAUGGGGCUGAGGUAAAAGUGGAAACACAGUUUGGGGUGAGCUCGCGUCCCAUUAGCUAGUUGGUGAGGUAACGGCCCACCAAGGCGACGAUGGGUAGCCGACCUGAGAGGGUGAUCGGCCACACUGGAACUGAGACACGGUCCAGACUCCUACGGGAGGCAGCAGUGGGGAAUAUUGGGCAAUGGGCGAAAGCCUGACCCAGCAACGCCGCGUGAGGGAUGAAUGUUUUCGGAUUGUAAACCUCUGUCCUCAGGGACGAAGGAAGUGACGGUACCUGAGGAGGAAGCCCCGGCUAACUACGUGCCAGCAGCCGCGGUAAUACGUAGGGGGCGAGCGUUGUCCGGAAUGACUGGGCGUAAAGGGCGCGUAGGCGGCUGUGUAAGUCUGGAGUGAAAGUCCUGCUUUUAAGGUGGGAAUUGCUUUGGAGACUGCAUGGCUUGAGUGCGGAAGAGGCAAGUGGAAUUCCCAGUGUAGCGGUGAAAUGCGUAGAGAUUGGGAAGAACACCAGUGGCGAAGGCGACUUGCUGGGCCGUAACUGACGCUGAGGCGCGAAAGCGUGGGGAGCGAACAGGAUUAGAUACCCUGGUAGUCCACGCCGUAAACGAUGAAUGCUAGGUGUAGGGGG
rnacentral:rRNA from 1 species